AUCGCUUCUCGGCCUUUUGGCUAAGAUCAAGUGUAGUAUCUGUUCACGUCAGCUUAAUAUCUGACGUGUCCUCUAUUGGGGGACAGUAUAUUAGGUGAAUUUUUAGAGCCGGGAGCUGGACUAGGAGCUUGCUCCGUCCACUCCAUAAAAAAAAAAAAAAUAAUAAAU
rnacentral:snRNA from 1 species